rnacentral:rRNA from 1 species
GAUGAACGCUGGCGGCGUGCCUAAUACAUGCAAGUCGAGCGAAUGGAUUAAGAGCUUGCUCUUAUGAAGUUAGCGGCGGACGGGUGAGUAACACGUGGGUAACCUGCCCAUAAGACUGGGAUAACUCCGGGAAACCGGGGCUAAUACCGGAUAACAUUUUGAACCGCAUGGUUCGAAAUUGAAAGGCGGCUUCGGCUGUCACUUAUGGAUGGACCCGCGUCGCAUUAGCUAGUUGGUGAGGUAACGGCUCACCAAGGCAACGAUGCGUAGCCGACCUGAGAGGGUGAUCGGCAACACUGGGAAUGAGACACGGCCCAGACUCCGACGGGAGGCAGAAGUAGGGAAUCUUCCGAAAUGGACGAAAGUCUGACGGAGCAACGCCGCGUGAGUGAUGAAGGCUUUCGGGUCGUAAAACUCUGUUGUUAGGGAAGAAAAAGUGCUAGUUGAAUAAGCUGGCACCUUGACGGUACCUAACCAGAAAGCCACGGCUAACUACGUGCCAGCAGCCGCCGUAA